GAAUGAAAUUCAUAUCUGAAAAUCAAUUCAGUAUGAAUUUUUGAUCCACCUUAUUCAAAUUCAUGCAACCUUGCCCCGUCCCCCUCAAUUUAGUGCGAAACAUUCAAAAUGGUCGCCGCUUGGCGUGUUGGUGGUAGCUGUGUGACAACGAUCCCUAUGCCAAUGGCAAUUCUCAUUCUCAGGAAUUUGAUAAUAUCUUCAGCUGAAGGUUUCGAGUGAUCUGGGUGCUUGUGAUAACAGUGAUAAAAUGGUCCAAUUCAAGCUGUCUUCAUAAACCACCAUGGAAAUUCAAGAACGCGAAUAUGUUUCAUCGGGAUAUUCGGCCACAUCAUCAACAAUCACAAGCUAUUCAAAUAUCUAUGCAUUACCUAUUUAUGUGCCAGUUCCCGUUUCACUGCCUUCACAAAUCAAUCAACCGGAGCCAGUGGAACGUUUGGAUUCAAAAGAAAGAGUUUCUCAGUUGGAAGAUCCAUAGCGGAUGCUGGAACUGCAGAAGAAGAUUCAGGAAUUGGAGAUUAGUUUGCAGGAAGCCAAAGCCAAACAGGCUGUUCCUCCCAGUGGAAUUAAGAGCCAGCAGGUCGUCAUCGACAAAUCGAUAUCUGCAGCUAUUUCCACUGGAGCCACUGAAGCCGAACUUUGUGUGUUCCUAAAAAGAAUCCUUCUACCUCAUCUUGUGUCUCUUCUAAAAUUCUGAAUGAAAUUGAUCUUCUGCACGACCGAUUGAGCAAUAUGAUCGCCUCAACCGGAGCUGUCGCUGUCAACCGUCGUCGCAUUGGAAAGAUAACCGACAACUAUCAGGAGCCGAUUGGGCGUGGAGGAUUCGGCCAAGUCUUCAAAGGAACUUGGCAUGAACGUCAAGUAGCCGUCAAAGAAAUCCGCUCUCCUUGGCGUUGCAGCACAGUCGUCGAGGCUCAAUCGUUCGCCAAGAUGAUUCAACGAGAGGUUGAAGCCCUUUCAGCUGUCCAGCGCCGCAAUAUUAUUGGACUGCUCGGUCUUUGCACGGAUAACGAAUCGAGUGAUGGUGACUCAUCGAUUAGAGUCUGCUCAUCUUUGAAUUCGCCAACGGAGGGACUCUUUUCGACUAUCUUUUCGGUGGCCAAGCAAAAAACAACAAAUUCAAAUCAGACGUGAAUCAAAUGAUACUGAUCGCUCGCCAUCUCACCGCGAGGCUCUCCAUCUACUGCAAUCCACUCAGCAGAAGCCGGGCGGUUCAGUUAUGGUCCACCGUGACGUGAAAUCCGCCAAUGUUUUACUGCAACGGGAUUACGAAGGAAGAGUCGUGCGAGCUGUUUUGGCCGAUUUUGGUUUGCCGGUUUUCAUUUGGAUCUCAACGAAAGUGGCUCCGGCUCUGGCCUAGCAGCCAGUUCCAUGACAGCCUUGGUAGGUACCCACGACUGUGUUGAUCCUUUGUAUGCGGAGAGUUUAACCUGCAGACGGGUCGGCCAGUUUGCAUGUCCUUCACGAUUGAAGGUCGCGGGGAAUAUUACGUUAAACUGUCAAUGCGGUGGUGUAGAGGUUGGGUGAGAAUUGGACGUGUUGCAUCAUUAUCGAGCAGACCCAUCCCCAGCAACGUCAACCUAAAAAAGGAAAGGCCAGUUUGCAUUUCCUUCACGCUCGAAGGUCACGGUGAUCUUAACGUAAAACGUGUCCUGCGACGGCGGAGAGGUUGGGUGAGGACGACACGUGUUACAUCAUUUUCAAUCAACUUUGGCGUUGUGCUGCUGUUGGGUGUUGAAUCGUUGAUGGUUGGUUCGACCACUGGUGUACAGAUGUCUCGUGGGGAUGGUGGAUACCAAACCGCAACGCUGCCGUGUUAGGUGUUACUACACAAUAACAACAUACGCAACAACCGAAUAGCUACACCACCAAGGCACCGGAGUACUACACCACCAAGGUACCGGAGUACUACACCACCAAGGCACCGGAGUACUACACCAUCGAGGCACUGCAAUACUACACGACUCCGUAUGCUGCCCCAGCCUUUUAGACCGAUGCUCCAGCUUAUUACUCCACCACGCGGUCAAAUACUACACUGAAGCGCCAAACUAUUACUCUGCCCCGAAUUACUUCACAGCGGCUGCUCCUUCGUACUACGUUGGACCGAAAUACUACACUGAGGCUCCAGUUUACUACAUAACAACUUACGGUGCUCCUAGCUACACCUAGUUAAUACACCAGACACGGCAACAAUUGCAUACUUCAACGUAGUACCAGUUUGCAAAAUUAUUUUU